AAAACAUUUGUAGGAGAGCUUAUGGGGCUGUGAAACCUAGAGAGAAAUCUCAAUGCUGUGACCACAGACUGAAGUUUUCCACAGAAUGACAUAGUCAUCCAAUAAAGCUCUGUUUUCCUGAGAAGAUAUUAGA
rnacentral:snoRNA from 1 species